CCUACGGGAGGCAGCAGUAGGGAAUAUUGCUCAAUGGGGGAAACCCUGACGCAGCAACGCCGCGUGGAGGAUGAAGGUCUUCGGAUUGUAAACUCCUUUUGUUAGAGAAGAUAAUGACGGUAUCUAACGAAUAAGCACCGGCCAACGCCGUCCCAGCAGCCGCGGUAAUACGGAGGGCGCAAGCGUUACUCGGAAUCACUGGGCGUAAAGAGCGCGUAGGCGGGGUAGCAAGUCAGAUGUGAAAGCCUAGGGCUUAACCAUAGAACUGCAUGUGAAACUGUAAUGCUAGAGUAUGGGAGAGGAGGGUAGAAUUCUUGGUGUAGGGGUAAAAUGCGUAGAGAUCAGGAGGAAUACUCAUUGCGAAGGCGACCUGCUGGAACAGAACUGACGCUGAUGCGCGAAAGCGUGGGGAGCAAACAGGAUUAGAUACCCUGGUAGUC
rnacentral:rRNA from 1 species